ACGGAUAUAGUUUCAGGGUAAAACAGCGAGAAGUUCACGAAAGUAAUUCUCGUUUUGUGGGUUCGAUUCCCAUUAUCCGUA
rnacentral:tRNA from 1 species